UACGAAGGGGGCUAGCGUUGUUCGGAAUUACUGGGCGUAAAGCGCACGUAGGCGGACAUUUAAGUCAGGGGUGAAAUCCCAGAGCUCAACUCUGGAACUGCCUUUGAUACUGGGUGUCUUGAGUAUGGAAGAGGUGAGUGGAAUUCCGAGUGUAGAGGUGAAAUUCGUAGAUAUCAGGAGGAACACCGGUGGCGAAAGCGGCUUCCUGGCCCGACAUUGACGCUCAUGUACGAAAGCGUGGGGAGCAAACAGG
rnacentral:rRNA from 1 species